AUGGGUGUUUCGCCACAAGCUCAAGGCCGACGGCACCCUCGAGCGGUACAAGGCGAGAUGGGUCGUCCGCGGCUUCUCUCAACGCCCCGGGGUCGACUUCGACGAAACCUUCUCGCCCGUUGUCAAGGCGGCCACAAUCCGGGUCGUCCUCACCAUCGCUGCCACGCGCGACUAGCCCGUUCACCAGAUGGACGUCAACAACGCCUUCUUACACGGCCGCCUCUCCGAUCAAGUGUACUGCUAGCAACCUGCUGGGUUUGUCGACGAUGCGCACCCUGA
rnacentral:rRNA from 1 species